UAGUGUACACUUGUGUAGUUGAGAAGUGGUGCUACCCUUAGCUUGUAGAGAGAGUGCUUCUUGUAUCAAGGAGAGUAGUGAGGUGAGAAGUGAAGGAUUUGGAUUUCUCUUACCCCUGAUCUUGUUAUCUCUAAGGAAGGAUAUUCUAUUCCAGGAUUGACUGGGGCCGGGCACGCCCAGCUGCUGCCGCUGCGUGUGAAGGGCUGCAGGCUCGGCGUCAAGCUCCCGCCCCGCCCCUGCCCCUGCCGCGGUCCACGCGCUGGCUUGCCGACCACACCUGGAUCUCGCCUUCCCCGGCGACGGCGUCACGGGUGACUGGUUCCGGUGCAUUGGGGACGACAACUACUGCCGCAGCAUCGAGUACGACAGGGGACGCCCCGUGUCCGCAUCCAUCUUCACCGCCGCUGCCUCAAGCUGCUGGUCCAUGGACGCGCGUCCAGGCUGAGAUGCACGCCAUGCCCCCCGCGUUUGCUGCCGCCGGCGGCGCCGCUGGUGCUUCGGCCAGUGUCGAACGAUGAGCGCGACGCCAUCCACCUCUCCGCCCACUAUGGCUGCCCAUCCACGUCCAUGUCCUCGCUCGACAGCGCGGGGUUCCGCCAAAUCUACCCACCGACAGGGACGCUGAAGUGAACGAAUAAAUGACUCGAUAGGAAUUAAUGGAAUUAGAACGUUCAGCGCGCUUUGCGCGCCCUAUAUUAUGAUCUUAAUAUUAGAUAUAAAAAAUAUCUAUAGAAAAAUAAUAGCAUAUUCUGAGAAUAUAGCAAGUGUUUAGCUGCAGGUGUUUGUUUUUUCCAAGUUGACUACUGCACCAUGUACAAAUUAGCUGCAGGUGUUUGUUUUUUUCAAGUCGACUAAAUACAUCAAGGACAAGUCUAAUAACAUAUUACAUAUGUUUUA